GGGACACGUGGUAUCCUGUCUGAAUAUGGGGGGACCAUCCUCCAAGGCUAAAUACUCCUGACUGACCGAUAGUGAACCAGUACCGUGAGGGAAAGGCGAAAAGAACCCCGGCGAGGGGAGUGAAAAAGAACCUGAAACCGUGUACGUACAAGCAGUGGGAGCACGCUUCGGCGUGUGACUGCGUACCUUUUGUAUAAUGGGUCAGCGACUUAUAUUCUGUAGCAAGGUUAACCGAAUAGGGGAGCCGAAGGGAAACCGAGUCUUAACUGGGCGUUAAGUUGCAGGGUAUAGACCCGAAACCCGGUGAUCUAGCCAUGGGCAGGUUGAAGGUUGGGUAACACUAACUGGAGGACCGAACCGACUAAUGUUGAAAAAUUAGCGGAUGACUUGUGGCUGGGGGUGAAAGGCCAAUCAAACCGGGAGAUAGCUGGUUCUCCCCGAAAGCUAUUUAGGUAGCGCCUCGUGAAUUCAUCUCCGGGGGUAGAGCACUGUUUCGGCAAGGGGGUCAUCCCGACUUACCAACCCGAUGCAAACUGCGAAUACCGGAGAAUGUUAUCACGGGAGACACACGGCGGGUGCUAACGUCCGUCGUGAAGAGGGAAACAACCCAGACCGCCAGCUAAGGUCCCAAAGUCAUGGUUAAGUGGGAAACGAUGUGGGAAGGCCCAGACAGCCAGGAUGUUGGCUUAGAAGCAGCCAUCAUUUAAAGAAAGCGUAAUAGCUCACUGGUCGAGUCGGCCUGCGCGGAAGAUGUAACGGGGCUAAACCAUGCACCGAAGCUGCGGCAGCGACACUAUGUGUUGUUGGGUAGGGGAGCGUUCUGUAAGCCUGUGAAGGUGUACUGUGAGGUAUGCUGGAGGUAUCAGAAGUGCGAAUGCUGACAUAAGUAACGAUAAAGCGGGUGAAAAGCCCGCUCGCCGGAAGACCAAGGGUUCCUGUCCAACGUUAAUCGGGGCAGGGUGAGUCGACCCCUAAGGCGAGGCCGAAAGGCGUAGUCGAUGGGAAACAGGUUAAUAUUCCUGUACUUGGUGUUACUGCGAAGGGGGGACGGAGAAGGCUAUGUUGGCCGGGCGACGGUUGUCCCGGUUUAAGCGUGUAGGCUGGUUUUCCAGGCAAAUCCGGAAAAUCAAGGCUGAGGCGUGAUGACGAGGCACUACGGUGCUGAAGCAACAAAUGCCCUGCUUCCAGGAAAAGCCUCUAAGCAUCAGGUAACAUCAAAUCGUACCCCAAACCGACACAGGUGGUCAGGUAGAGAAUACCAAGGCGCUUGAGAGAACUCGGGUGAAGGAACUAGGCAAAAUGGUGCCGUAACUUCGGGAGAAGGCACGC
rnacentral:rRNA from 1 species